GCAGCGGUGGCCCAGUGGUGAGAGCUUGAGGACGCCAAUCUGGAGGUUGUGGGUUCGAUCCCCCUCCGCGGUU
rnacentral:tRNA from 1 species